rnacentral:rRNA from 1 species
UACGGGAGGCAGCAGUGGGGAAUAUUGGACAAUGGGGGAAACCUGAUCCAGCGACGCCGCGUGAGUGAAGAAGUAUUUCGGUAUGUAAAGCUCUAUCAGCAGGGAAGAAAAUGACGGUACCUGACUAAGAAGCCCCGGCUAACUACGUGCCAGCAGCCGCGGUAAU